rnacentral:rRNA from 1 species
CCUACGGGAGGCAGCAGUGAGGAAUAUUGGUCAAUGGGCGCGAGCCUGAACCAGCCAAGUCGCGUGAGGGAAGACGGUCCUAUGGAUUGUAAACCUCUUUUGUCGGGGAGCAAAAGACGCCACGCGUGGCGUUCCGAGAGUACCCGAAGAAAAAGCAUCGGCUAACUCCGUGCCAGCAGCCGCGGUAAUACGGAGGAUCCGAGCGUUAUCCGGUUUUUUGGGGUUAAAGGGAGGGUAGAUGGGGUGUUAAAGCAGGUGUGAAAGUUUUGGGGUCAAACUUAAAAUUGCAGUUGAUACUGGCAGCCUUGAGUACAGUUGAGGUAGGCGGAAUUCGUGGUGUAGCGGUGAAAUGCUUAGAUAUCACGAAGAACUCCGAUUGCGAAGGCAGCCUACUAAACUGCCACUGACAUUGAUGCUCGAAAGUGUGGGUAUCAAACAGGAUUAGAUACCCGUGUAGUC